rfam:Chryseobacterium soli strain DSM 19298 Contig06, whole genome shotgun sequence.
AAGGCGGGAUCCGAAAAGCCAAUAUAAGAGUAGGAA